GGCGGUGUGGUGAAAUUGGUAUACACGACGGAUUCAAAAUCCGUUGCCUUCGGGCGUGGCGGUUCAAGUCCGCCCACCGCUACCA
rnacentral:tRNA from 8 species